GUCGUUCGGCGCUCGGUUGCUCGCGCCUGCCAGUUGCUAGGAGCCGGGGACGCCGGCCCCGCAGCCGCGGCCUGCGAGCGGCGAUGGAGCCCGGGAAGAGAAGAACGAAAGAUGAUACUUGGAAAGCAGAUGACCUCAGAAAACACCUCUGGGCCGCACACUCAGGUAAUCCCAAGGGAGAUAAGAAGCACAGAGAAAAGAAGCUUUGUAAGGAGUCAGAAGUGGACUUCCCUGAAGACAAAGAGCAAAAGCAUAGGGACCCAGACCGAGACACCAAGCACAGAGAGAGGCCUGCUGAGAGAGACGGUCACGCGUCCAGAGAGAACCCUCGUGGGGACAGAGACCGAGAAAAGCCAAGGGAAAGGAAAAAGGACUCCAGAGACCGGGACAGAGAAAGACACAAAGAGAAAUACCGAGAGCAGGACGCAGAGAAGUCUCACAGUCGAGGAAAAGACAGGGACAAGGACAGAGAGCGCAGAGCGAGGAGGGAGGAGCUGAGGCAGACGGCCCAGCACAACCUGCUGGGCUGGCAGCUCCCGGAGCCGGCGGAGCGCAGGGCUCGGGCAGGCAGCAAAGCAAGAGCGGAAGAGAAGGAGAGGAGAGACGAAGGCUCUGAAUGGGGGGACGAAGAGAGGGAGAGGCGGUACCGAGAAAGAAAGCUGCAGUACGGUGACAGUCAGGACAAUCCUGUUCAGUACUGGCUUUACAAAGAAGGAGGCGAGCGGAGACACAGGAGGCAGAAAGAAGCAGAUCGAGAGCGGAGACAUCGAGAAAAAAGCAGCGUGAGGGAAAAAAGAGACAAGCACUCAAGAGAAAAAAGUAACUCGUUCUCUGACAAGGAAGGGGAAGACAGACACAGAGAGAAGCGUCACAGGGAAGGCGCUCGUCUCGACGAAGAGAGGCACCCCGGUGACACGGGUAGAAAAGAGAGGUCGUCAAGAGAGGAGCUGACGAAAAGAGAGUCCAAGGACAGUGAGCACAGAAAUCGGGGUGCAAGUUCGAGGAGAGAUCCGACCAGCAGCCAGGAAGGAUCAUGCGCUCUCUGGUAUGCAGAGAGUUUAGUAAGAAAUAAUGGAAAAGAUAAAGACUCAAGAAAGAAGAGCUGCCGAGAGGGCUCCGCAGUGUGGAAGCAGGCUCUGAGGCCAGGAAGUGCAGAAAUUGCGGAAAUUGAAAAGGAAGACACUGAUAUAGAAAAUGCUGGAACUGAUGAAUAUACACCUUGUUUGGAAGAUGAUUUUGAAGACUACGAAGAUGACUUUGAGGUUUGUGAUGGAGAUGACGAUGUCUCAAAUGAACUGGAACCAAAAGAGAAAAUCGAAGAGCUUCCUCUGGCUAGAAAAAAGGAGAUACAAGAAAUUCAGGAAGCCAUUAAUGCAGAAAACGAAAGGAUUGGCGAGUUGUCCUGCAAACUGUCUCAGAAGCGAGGUCUGAAGGAGGGUGAGAGGGAGGCAGAGACAGAUGCAAACAGUUCCCCUUCCAGAGCCCCUGUUUGUGGAAUUUUCAUGGAUUUUGCGACAGCCUCACGCCGACAGAAGAGUCGGACUCAGGCCCUUAAGCAAAAGGCACGCAGUACAAAACUGCUUCGGCUCAUUGAUUUGGAUUUUUCACUCACUUUCUCUCUCUUGGACCUACCACCAGUAAAUGAGUAUGACAUGUAUAUCAGAAACUUCGGGAGAAAAAACACCAAGCAGGCAUAUGUUCAGUACAAUGAAGAUAAUGUUGACAGAGACACCCAGACCGAAGAGGUAGAGACCAAGGGAGUGUGGAGCCAGCACCCGGCAGAGGGCACGGCCGUGUCAGGGGGGAGUGGCAGUGGAGAUCCCUGUGACACCGGUGCCCCGAAGGUCAACACGCCCAGGCUGUCCCGCUUCCUUCGGGCCGCUUGCCAGGUGAUUGCGGUUUUGCUGGAAGAGGACCGUAUGGCAGCGGAGCCCAGCUGGAGCCCCACAGCACAGGACAGCGCCCUGCGUAUCAGUGACAGCGCCUCCCAGCUGAAUACCAGCCUGCCGUUCCUCCAGAAUCGGAAAGUGUCCUGCUUAUGUGCCUCUCAGGUGCAGAGGCAGACAGUGGUAUCUGUCCACGGGCCGCCUGGAGCAGCAUUUGAUCCCGCGCUGGAUGGCAGAUACGUGCUGUGUGUGUGGGAUAUCUGGCAGCCUUCAGGGCCGCAGAAGGUCCUGAUAUGUGAGUCAGAGGUCACGUGUUGCUGCUUUAGCCCUUUUAAAGCCUUUUUACUGUUUGCUGGAACAGUGCACGGCUCAGUCCUCGUGUGGGACCUACGAGAAGACUCCAGAAUACAUCACUAUGUGAAGCUGGGUGACUGCUUCUGGACGUUCAGGACAGCAACGUUUUCUACUGACGGCCUCCUGACUUCAGUAAACCACCGCGGUCCUGUUCAAGCCGUAGAACCCAUCUCCACGUCUGUCUACAAAAAACAGAGUUUUGUGCUUUCCCCCUUUUCUACCCAAGAAGAAAUGUCAGGUUUGUCGUUCCACGUUGCUUCCCUGGAGGAGAGUGGGGUUCUCAACGUUUGGGUGGUGGUUGAACUACCGAAGGCAGAUCUCGCAGGCUCACUAAGUGACUUAGGUUUAAUACCUGGAGGGAGGAUAAAAUUGGUGCACAGCGCCACGAUUCAGCUGAGCGACAGCCUUUCCCAUAAAGGCUAUGAAUUCUGGGGGGCCACACAAACCCUCAGUGUGAAGUUUCUUCCUUCAGAUCCUGGUCACUUCAUUGUUGGCACAGACAUGGGUCUUAUAAGUCAUGGCACCAGACAGGACUUGAGAGUAUCUCCCAAACUGUACAAACCCCAGCAAUGUGGGAUGAGACCAGUCAGAGUGCAUGUGAUGGAUUUUUCACCAUUUGGAGAACCAAUAUUCUUGGCUGGCUGUUCCGACGGAAGCAUCAGGCUGCAUCAGCUGACCAGCGAGCGCCCUCUCCUGCAGUGGGACGGUGGCACUGAUGGCCAUGCUAUCACGGGCCUGCGCUGGUCCUUGACCAGACCUGCCGUGUUUCUGGCCCAGGAUGACACUUCCUGCAUUUAUAUUUGGGACCUCCUGGAAAGCGAUUUGGGUCCUGUGGCCAAACAGCUGAUCUCUCCGGACAACUCUGCCCCACUCCAUGAUAUUGUGUCGGAGGAUGGAGAACCUCGCCAGCAUUUACUGUGUUACUGGAAAAGGAAAACUCCCACUGUUGGGAGAAGCCAUGGGAGAUGGAUGUGGAGAAUUCAUCUGCAGAAAUGAAGGUUUGGGGAAGAAGGGGAGCUGCUGCCCUCCAGCCUGCUGGUCCCCGGAGUCACUUUCUUUCUUGAUUCCGGCCCGUUCCUUGUCUCCACUGCCUUGGAGACAUGUUGGUGCAUUUGGCAUCUAGUCUGGUGAAUAUGAUGAGUUCCCAAGUGUGGAAUUAAUGUUUUCCUUCCGGUCAUGGGCCUUUAAACCACAAGGCUCAUAUUCUUGGAAGACUAACAGAAGACAAACUCUGAAAGCGGUUUCAAAAUGGCCUAAAAAUGUCCCAGUGCUGUGUUCUCAAGUGUGGAAUUAAUGUUUUCCUUCAGGUGAUGGGCCUUUAAACCACAAGGCUCAUAUUCUUGGAAGACUAAUAAAACACAGACUCUGAAAGCAGUUUCAAAAUGGCCUAAAAAUGUCCCAGUGCUAAGUAGUGAAAACAGGUCACUUAAAGGAAAUCACCUUGUGGUUCUGUGGCUCCAUCUGGCCAUGAGCCCCCAGCUUGGAAGAUGCCUGAGGCAGGGUCACCAUCCAGUGACUUUAAAUCCCCAACCGUUUUUUUCCAGUGUGAUCUCAAUCACAGUUUCAUCUCUGAAUCAGUCCAGGCCCUCGGUUUCCUCCAGCUGGGACCUGCCCAGGACAGCUAACCUGCAGUGGGGACUGGCCCAGCAAAGGGAGCCUCCUGUUGGCAAAGGGAGCCUCCCGGAGAGAGCGCGCAGGGCCAAGGGGAGAGGGCUGCUUGCCCAAAUGUCUGAGGAGCUGCUGUGGGCCACCCAGCACCUAUGUCCUCGGCUCUGGUCUGUAGGACAGCGAGAGGCACUGGCACAGUUAACGAUGCUGCUGGAUGACAGACAAC